AUAGGGGACCUCGAGUGCCAGGUUACAAAUCUGGCUGUCGUGAUGCCUAAAAAGCAUUGCAUAGCAAGGGCCGGGCAAGACCGGUGCCAGCCGCCGCGGUAACACCGGCGGCUCGAGUGGUAACCGUUAUUGUUGGGUCUAAAGGGUCUGUAGCCGGCCGGGUAAGUCUCUUGGGAAAUCUGGCAGCUUAACUGUCAGGCUUUCAGGAGAUACUGUCUGGCUCGAGGCCGGGAGAGGUGAGAGGUACUUCAGGGGUAGGGGUGAAAUCUUGUAAUCCUUGAAGGACCACCAGUGGCGAAGGCGUCUCACCAGAACGGACCUGACGGCAAGGGACGAAAGCUAGGGGCACGAGCCGGAUUAGAUACCCGGGUAGUCCUAGCCGUAAACGAUACUCGCUAGGUGUCGGCAACGGUGCGACCGUUGUCGGUGCCGUAGGGAAGCCGUGAAGCGAGCCACCUGGGAAGUACGGCCGCAAGGCUGAAACUUAAAGGAAUUGGCGGGGGAGCACCACAACGGGUGGAGCUUGCGGUUUAAUUGGAUUCAACGCCGGAAACCUUACCGGGACCGACAGCAAUAUGAAGGCCAGGCUGAAGACUUUGCCGGAUUAGCUGAGAGGUGGUGCAUGGCCGUCGUCAGUUCGUACUGUGAAGCAUCCUGUUAAGUCAGGCAACGAGCGAGACCCACGCCCACAGUUGCCAGCGUACUCUCCGGAGUGACGGGUACACUGUGGGGACCGCCGCUGCUAAAGCGGA
rnacentral:rRNA from 1 species